rnacentral:rRNA from 1 species
CACUCCUGCGGGAGGCAGCAGUGGGGAAUUUUGGACAAUGGGCGAAAGCCUGAUCCAGCAAUGCCGCGUGAGUGAAGAAGGCCUUCGGGUUGUAAAGCUCUUUUGUCAGGGAAGAAACGGUGAGAGCUAAUAUCUCUUGCUAAUGACGGUACCUGAAGAAUAAGCACCGGCUAACUACGUGCCAGCAGCCGCGGUAAUACGUAGGGUGCAAGCGUUAAUCGGAAUUACUGGGCGUAAAGCGUGCGCAGGCGGUUUUGUAAGUCUGAUGUGAAAUCCCCGGGCUCAACCUGGGAAUUGCAUUGGAGACUGCAAGGCUAGAAUCUGGCAGAGGGGGGUAGAAUUCCACGUGUAGCAGUGAAAUGCGUAGAUAUGUGGAGGAACACCGAUGGCGAAGGCAGCCCCCUGGGUCAAGAUUGACGCUCAUGCACGAAAGCGUGGGGAGCAAACAGGAUUAGAUACCCGAGUAGUCCC